GACGAACGCUGGCGGCGUGCUUAACACAUGCCAGUCGAACGCUGAAGCUCAGCUUGCUGGGUGGAUGAGUGGCGAACGGGUGAGUAACACGUGAGUAACCUGCCCUCUUCUUUGGGAUAACGCCCGGAAACGGGUGCUAAUACUGGAUAUUCACUGAUUCUCGCAUGGGGGUUGGUGGAAAGGUUUUUUCUGGUGGGGGAUGGGCUCGCGGCCUAUCAGCUUGUUGGUGGGGUGAUGGCCUACCAAGGCUUUGACGGGUAGCCGGCCUGAGAGGGUGACCGGUCACAUUGGGACUGAGAUACGGCCCAGACUCCUACGGGAGGCAGCAGUGGGGAAUAUUGCACAAUGGGCGAAAGCCUGAUGCAGCGACGCCGCGUGAGGGAUGGAGGCCUUCGGGUUGUAAACCUCUUUCGCUCAUGGUCAAGCCGCAGCUUGGGGUUGUGGUGAGGGUAGUGGGUAAAGAAGCGCCGGCUAACUACGUG
rnacentral:rRNA from 1 species